rnacentral:misc_RNA from 1 species
AAGACUAUAGACCUGCGGAGUACCUGCGGAAGGAUCAUUACAUGGCGGAGAAGGUGGGCAACCUGGCCAACAUCCAGGUUGUGAUGCCUUCGCGCUCUUCCACCCUUGUCUAUUUGCACCUUCUGUCGUUCCCUCGGCGGGUUUCGACCCGCCGGCGGCAACAUUGAAAAACCCUUUUUGCAGUUAGCAUUCAAUUCUUCUGAUCAAAUAUUAAAUCAUUACAACUUUUAACAACGGAUC